rnacentral:lncRNA from 1 species
UGUGUAGGUCACGACUUGAAAACUUGCUGGGAGACACGAAGGGAUUCCACGAAAAUAAAUCAAUGGAAAGACUCGAACUGACACAAAGAUGCAUGUAUUGGGGAAAAUGCCAAUACAACAAAACUAUCCACAAAGGAUACCUCGGAUGAAAAUCCGGACUCAGACGGGGACGCCCACAAAGGACUCAGAUGAGGAAGAAAAAGCGAGAUAUUACC